rnacentral:rRNA from 1 species
UGCCAGCAGCCGCGGUAAUCCCCGAGGGAGCGAGCGUUAAUCGGAAUAACUGGGCGUAAAGGGCACGCAGGCGGACUUUUAAGUGAGGUGUGAAAGCCCCGGGCUUAACCUGGGAAUUGCAUUUCAGACUGGGAGUCUAGAGUACUUUAGGGAGGGGUAGAACUCCACGUGUAGCGGUGAAAUGCGUAGAGAUGUGGAGGAAUACCGAAGGCGAAGGCAGCCCCUUGGGAAUGUACUGACGCUCAUGUGCGAAAGCGUGGGGAGCAAACAGGAUUAGAUACCCUGGUAGUCCACGCUGUAAACGAUGUCGAUUUGGGGGUUGAACUUUAGGUUUGGCGCCCGUAGCUAACGUGAUAAAUCGACCGCCUGGGGAGUACGGCCGCAAGGUUAAAACUCAAAUGAAUUGACGGGGGCCCGCACAAGCGGUGGAGCAUGUGGUUUAAUUCGAUGCAACGCGAAGAACCUUACCUACUCUUGACAUCCAGAGAACAUUCCAGAGAUGGAUUGGUGCCUUCGGGAACUCUGAGACAGGUGCUGCAUGGCUGUCGUCAGCUCGUGUUGUGAAAAUGUUGGGUUAAGUCCCGCAACGAGCGCAACCCU